rnacentral:rRNA from 1 species
UACGUAGGCAGCGAGCGUUGUUCGGAAUUACUGGGCGUAAAGAGUGUGUAGGCGGUGCUCUAAGUUCGGUGUGAAAUCUCCUGGCUCAACUGGGAGGGUGCGCCGGAAACUGGAGUGCUUAAGCGUGGGAGAGGAAAGCGGAAUUCCUGGUGUAGCGGUGAAAUGCGUAGAUAUCAGGAGGAACACCGGUGGUGUAGACGGCUUUCUGGACCGGUAACUGAC